rnacentral:rRNA from 1 species
AUGAACGCUAGCUACAGGCUUAACACAUGCAAGUCGAGGGGCAUCAGGAAGAAAGCUUGCUUUCUUUGCUGGCGACCGGCGCACGGGUGAGUAACACGUAUCCAACCUGCCCUUUACUCGGGGAUAGCCUUUCGAAAGAAAGAUUAAUACCCGAUGGCAUAAUGAUUCCGCAUGGUUUCAUUAUUAAAGGAUUCCGGUAAAGGAUGGGGAUGCGUUCCAUUAGGUUGUUGGUGAGGUAACGGCUCACCAAGCCUUCGAUGGAUAGGGGUUCUGAGAGGAAGGUCCCCCACAUUGGAACUGAGACACGGUCCAAACUCCUACGGGAGGCAGCAGUGAGGAAUAUUGGUCAAUGGGCGCUAGCCUGAACCAGCCAAGUAGCGUGAAGGAUGAAGGCUCUAUGGGUCGUAAACUUCUUUUAUAUAAGAAUAAAGUGCAGUAUGUAUACUGUUUUGUAUGUAUUAUAUGAAUAAGGAUCGGCUAACUCCGUGCCAGCAGCCGCGGUAAUACGGAGGAUCCGAGCGUUAUCCGGAUUUAUUGGGUUUAAAGGGAGCGUAGGUGGACUGGUAAGUCAGUUGUGAAAGUUUGCGGCUCAACCGUAAAAUUGCAGUUGAUACUGUCAGUCUUGAGUACAGUAGAGGUGGGCGGAAUUCGUGGUGUAGCGGUGAAAUGCUUAGAUAUCACGAAGAACUCCGAUUGCGAAGGCAGCUCACUGGACUGCAACUGACACUGAUGCUCGAAAGUGUGGGUAUCAAACAGGAUUAGAUACCCUGGUAGUCCACACAGUAAACGAUGAAUACUCGCUGUUUGCGAUAUACAGUAAGCGGCCAAGCGAAAGCAUUAAGUAUUCCACCUGGGGAGUACGCCGGCAACGGUGAAACUCAAAGGAAUUGACGGGGGCCCGCACAAGCGGUGGAGCAUGUGGUUUAAUUCGAAGCAACGCGAAGAACCUUACCAGGUCUUGACAUCGAUCUAAAGGCUCCAGAGAUGGAGAGAUAGCUAUAGAGAAGACAGGUGGUGCAUGGUUGUCGUCAGCUCGUGUCGUGAGAUGUUGGGUUAAGUCCCGCAACGAGCGCAACCCUUAUUGCCAGAUACUACGUUAAGAGGACUCUGGCGAGACUGCCGUUGACAAAACGGAGGAAGGUGGGGAUGACGUCAAAUCAGCACGGCCCUUACGUCCGGGGCUACACACGUGUUACAAUGGGGGGUACAGAAGGCAGCUAGCGGGUGACCGUAUGCUAAUCCCAAAAUCCUCUCUCAGUUCGGAUCGGAGUCUGCAACCCGACUUCGUGAAGCUGGAUUCGCUAGUAAUCGCGCAUCAGCCACGGCGCGGUGAAUACGUUCCCGGGCCUUGUACACACCGCCCGUCACACCAUGAGAGUUGGAAAUACCCGAAGCCUGUGAGCUAACCUAAGAGGCAGCAGUCGAAGGUAGAGCCAAUGAUUGGGGUG